rnacentral:lncRNA from 1 species
CAACUUUACUCUGAAAGCCAGCAGCCUGAGAAGACAGCAAGCUCAUGGCCCCCAAAGAACCAUCUUGCCUGAGUUAAGACUUCAGGCUCCUUUUAUACUAAAAGGGAGGCAUAAAGUCAAACACUUCCUGGUUCCCAUCAGUCUCUGGAGGGGAUAUGUUAGUUUCUUACUUCCUGCAGGCAGGUGGGGCCUAGUCCGGAAAUUUCCUGUGAGCUAAACAAAGGUAUUUUUUUUUAAUUAAUUAAUUUUUUUGUUGAAGCUUCAUGUUCAUUACCUGGGAGGCAGUUUCCUAGAGAUGAGUCGUUAUGUGUAAUUUAAGCUUAUAGGCAACACCUCUUUAGUGAUUAACUUAUAAUAGAAUACAAAAGGUUUUUCCCCAUCACACUUGCUGUUAUGGAAACAGAAUAGAUGUGCGGAGUGGGGCAGGGAGGCUGGCAUCUUGGGUGUCCCCUUGGCAAGUUCAGGGUUCUCCUGACAAAGCUGAGACCUUGAUAAUCAUCCAUGAGACAUUCCAGCAUGUUGUGAUUUCCAGCACGUCGGUUAGAUAGCUAAUUGACUCUGGCUGCUUCCAGAGGAAGGGAGGAAAAGCAAGUGACUUAUGUUUUGUUGCUACCAAUACUCCCUGCGGUCGUGUCCCAUGGAGUCCAGUUUCAGGAGGACAGGGUACCCGGGGACCCGAGGUGAUACCUGCAGGAGUCGGGGUCGUGGGGGAGCUGUGACCUCAGACGAGUGGGCUCCCGGGGGCCCAGGACAACUGCAUUUCACCACCCUGACUGUGUCCUUCAAGAUGAGACCCUGGCAGAGAAGGCUAAGGGUGUGUGUACUCUCAUUGAACAUCAUUUUCUCCUUCACAAAAACAAAGGCUCACUGUCCCCAAGGAGGCCGGAAGUUGGGCGGACCCCAGCGGUUAGCAGAGGCCUCCAGCUCACCUGGGUAUGGAUGUGGGGACAGAGACACGGUAGCCUUUAGGAUCACGGAAUGAAACUCGGGAGAUUCCCCAAGCAGGCCCCAACAGAGAUGGAGGGCUGACCAGACUCUCUUCUCCAAACGAUUUUUCUUCCUUCUCUCAACUGCUGUAGAAGCAAGAUUGUCUGGGAUGCGAGUGGAGCUCUGGGGAGAAAAGAAACCCAUAUANNNNNNNNNNNNNNNNNNNNNNNNNNNNNNNNNNNNNNNNNNNNNNNNNNNNUCCUUCACAAAAACAAAGGCUCACUGUCCCCAAGGAGGCUGGAAGUUGGGCGGACCCCAGCGGUCCUGAAAUUCUAGAUUUGGUUCAGUCCACCAGUAAAAAUGACAAACUACUUCAUCCUGGAAUGGAUAUUUUGCAAAUCUGUGAAUGUGAUCUACUGGUGAGCUAAGUUGUACAUAUAUUAUAUGCUAAUGGUAUAUGAGUCAGCAUUGCUGCAGGAAGAA